GUUGAGGUUGGGCCACCAUGUUGUAAACGGGUUGCUCCCGGUAAACUUCAUGAGGCAUUCUCUGCACGUUGGUGUAGUAGCCUUGACCGGCUUGUCCGGUUACUGGUCGAACCAUUUGUGGUGCUGCUGAUGCUGAUGCAGGUGCAGGUGCUGGAGCUGGAACUGGUGGAGGUGCGUGAUAGAGGUUGGCCGGAGCCGAUCCUGGAACUGGAGCUGGGAUCAUGUAAACAGGGUGAUCCGCCGGCGGUGGUGGUCCUGGGGCUGCCGUUACGGUUGCUGGGAAACCCCCGGCUGAAAUUUGUUUAUCCGACCAGAUUCCG
rnacentral:lncRNA from 1 species